GAUGAACGCUGGCGGCGUGCCUAAUACAUGCAAGUCGAGCGAAUGGAUUAAGAGCUUGCUCUUAUGCAGUUAGCGGCGGACGGGUGAGUAACACGUGGGUAACCUGCCCAUAAGACUGGGAUAACUCCGGGAAACCGGGGCUAAUACCGGAUAACAUUUUGAACCGCAUGGUUCGAAAUUGAAAGGCGGCUUCGGCUGUAACUUAUGGAUGGACCCGCGUCGCAUUAGCUAGUUGGUGAGGUAACGGCUCACCAAGGCAACGAUGCGUAGCCGACCUGAGAGGGUGAUCGGCCACACUGGGACUGGGACACGGCCCAGACUCCUACGGGAGGCAGCAGUAGGGAAUUUUCCGCAAUGGACGAAAGUCUGACGGAGCAACGCCGCGUGAGUGACGAAGGCUUUCGGGUCGUAAAACUCUGUUGUUAGGGAAGAACAAGUGCUAGUUGAAUAAGCUGGCACCUUGACGGUACCUAACCAGAAAGCCACGGCUAACUACGUGCCAGCCGCCGCAGUAA
rnacentral:rRNA from 1 species